rnacentral:lncRNA from 1 species
GACGACGGCGAUCAUCGCCACAGCAAACUGCAUGCUGCGUGCCAUGUCGAUCGAUCGAGCUAUUCGUGUGUGCUGAGUGAUCUGAGUGCCUGACUGUGUGCUAGUAUGCUAGCUUUGGAAUGCAGUGAGAGCAAGUGCUAGCUGGUGAGGAGAAUAUGCAGUGAAAUGUUGGUCCUUAAAUAGGCUUGAGAUCGAUCUGAGAGCUACAAUGGCUGAUGACAGAUGUCAUGCAUGGUGUGUGCAUGCUGUUUCUUUCGGUAGAACAUCAUCAUCGUACAGUUAAGAGCCGGGCAGGAGGAGGUGGUUGGGUGUUGGGGGCAGGAGGCAGAUGGAGGAUGUGGAUGGAAAUACACAUAUGCAGUGGUUAGUGGAUGCAGAGUGAAUUCAUCAUCAGCAGCAGCAGCAGCAGCAAACUUAAUAAAUAGCAGCCGCCUAACACGACUUAAUAAUAAAUUAAACAGUUAAGCGUCAUUUAAUCUCAUCACCCGCCUCACUGAUUAAUCGAAUGAGGCCUUGUUUAGUUCACCCCAAAAUCCAAAAAUUUUUCAAGAUUCACUGUCACAUCGAAUCUUGGGGCACAUGCAUGGAGCACUAAAUAUAAACAAAAAUAAAAACUAAUUGCACAGUUUAUCUGUAAAUCACGAGAUGAAUCUUUUAAGCCUAGUUACUCUAUAAUUGGACAAUGUUUGUCAAAUAAAAACGAAAAUGCUACAGUUCCAAAAACCAAAAUGUUUUCGGAACUAAACAAUAUAUAGCCUCCCACAGGCUCACAAAAUCUGAGAACUCACCUAUAUGUGGCCAAUUCAUCUAACAUAGCCUUUUGGACCGUGUAUUUUUUCCUUCGAGUCUUUUGAUGUAACAGCGGUUCAAUUGCCUUGACCGAUGUUCCAUUGAUCCAAUUCGAUGUCACGAAAGAGGCUAUAUUUUUUACAUUGCCUGUGGUGACUAUAUAUAGUUAAUGAAUUGAAGAGCUUGUGAUCAGAUUUGUCACAAGGAAUCUCCGUAUUGCUCCACGCUCUUUCCUUUUGUUUCUACUUAAACCAUAGCCGUCAUCUCAAUUGGACAAUCCCUUCGCCUUGGGAAGGGCGUGGUGGUGGACUAGUUGAUCAACGAAUGUCCUCCAAUGAUGUUCUCAAGUGGUAUUUCUCCUCGCCAAAGAAAAUUACGCCACAUCCUGUCUAUUCUUUUGAGCCUGGAACACUAUCAAAUGGUAUAUUAUUGGCAGCGUCAUUAGAAUCAUUUCUGUACUGGUGUUUCUCUAUUAGAUGUUGGCAGGAAUUUUCCUUUCCACCCCGGGAGCCUGGCACCAAAAUCUUUUCUAUCAGUGGCUAGACCUCCCUCCUUUCUUAAUUUCCGGGUAUAUGUAAUUGAAGCCCUAAAUAUUUUCCCUGGGAAGUUGUGGAUGAGCGAAGGGACCAUGUUAGGUUGGAGCCAUAUUGGAAAAAAAAAAUAGUCUUGGACAUGUUAAUUUUUAGCCCUGAACAAUUUCCAAAGAAAUGUAGGAAUUUUGUAAGCUGCUCAACUGCUCUGAAGAUGGGUUUGCAAACAAACCCACAUUUUAUUUGUGUAGAGAGAGCACCACAAGUUUGCUGCUUCCGGUACAACCAGUUGUAGGAUAUCCUGUUGUGCCGCUCAUAUUCAAUGAUUUGUUGGUAGCGGGUCUACUGCUAACAUGCAUGAAAAGUAGGGGCCGGGAAAGCGGAUUGCUUUGCCUCAAUCCUCUUGCAUGUUUGAUGUUUUGACUCGAUCAUCUAUUUAUGAGAAUUUUGGAUGAGAAGGACCCUAAGUUUCUUUGAUAUCCAAUUAGGUCAUUUUGUGCUAAAACCAAGCGCAGUUAGAAAUUCCAGAAGGUGUGCCAUUCUAUGGAGUCGAAAGCUUUGGAGAUGUCCAGUUUUAUAAAUAGAUCGAGUGAGCUGAUUUUUUUCUGUAGAAGUUGAAUACUCUUUGUACAUAAAGAAAAUUGCCCCUUUUAUUGAUGAAUGCAUUUUGAGCAUGUGAAACCAACUCAUUCAUAUAUGGAGCUAGUCUAUUUGCAAAGAUUUUCGUAAUGAUUUUUAUGAGGCUGUUAAUUAGGCUAAUCAGUCUCUAUACUCAAACAUUGUUUGUGCUUCCUACUUCUUAGGGAGUAGAACUAUACUUGCUUCAUUAAACAACUGCAUUUUUGCAGUCCUAUGGUUGUCGUUCUUGAUUAUAUCCCAACUCUUCUUAUAGAAGAUCCCGAUAAGACCAACUAGUCCUGGGGCUUUCUACGACGGAAGCUCCUUGAUUAUGGUAAGUAGCUCCUGCUCUGUAAAUGGCAUGUCUAGUUCAUCAAGGUUAUGUGGAGAGUAACCCAACGUCUCCCAAUUGAUUGACUAUAUGUUCUUGUAGCUCUUGUUCCCUGGCUUUGGCGAAGAACUCAACAGGGGACCUCUGUUCCCACGUUGGGAAAUUGCGACCCUCUCCUCAAUGUGAAUUGUGCUUAUAUAUUUUUCCUUCGUCUAGCGUUUGCAUGUAGUUGGGAAAAAUGAGUAUUAGUAUCAUCAUUCCAUAUUUAGCUAGGUCAGUCAAAAGUGUUGUCUCGCCUUUGCUUUCUGUAUUGCGAUUAGACCCAUUGAUUUUGCCUUAAGAUAUUUCUUGAAUUCCACUUCUUCUAUUGUCAGGGGACGUCUUUUCUGUGCCUUCUCUAGCUCUCUAUAGGAUGAUGUGAAGGACGUCAUUCCCUAGUUUCCAUUCAGUAAACAGUGUAUGCUUCCAUACUUUUAACGCUCUUGCCAUGCGGAGGAGCUUGGUGUUUACUGUCUGUUCCCAUGUUGAACCAUCUAUAUAAACCCCAGCAUAUUUACCCAAUAGUAAAAAUGGAAACCAUGGCAAAAUUCAAAAGUAAUAUCCUCUACAAGAGCAAAAGACCAUGGUCCCAUUAUUUUGCUAUGUGAGCCCACUCCUCUUAUUUUUCACCUUUAUUUUGAUUAUGCUACUCAAGUGUUGUAUCUGACUUUUAUUUUUUGACUUGGCUUACUCCUCUUAAGAUGUCAUUUGUUCCAAAUCCUUAAUGUUGGAAGUGGUUAGAAUUCCUCUAGUAGCGGAGGUCAGUCGAGCCUACUCGCUCGCUGCAGCGAGAGGCUUGAGUGUGCUAACAAUCAAGGAAGAGAGAGCUCGAAACCCUAGAACAGUAGUGUUUCAGUAAAUUGGUUUCAACUAACUCUUGAAAGAGCAUUUAUAACCCCUUUAUAUAGGGUGCGGAUCCCAACCGAGAUCCGUUACAGCAAUGCCCCAUGACGGUGGCGGGAUAUUCCAGCAUAUUUCGCCACUACAAUCUAUAACCCACAGGGCUACUUGAGUAAUUUCGAACUGCAAGCUCUUUGCAGGCUGUCGCGUCGGAGUCCUGGUCCUAUCGUAGCUCGAUCCUUCUCCUAUCCUUCGUCGAGGCUCAUAGAUCCUCCGCCUUGCGGCCGACGAGGGAUCUUUGUCCGCCACUCAGAGGUUCUUCGGCUUGGUCGGGGUCAGCACGUCCUUCAUCACGCAAGGGCUGAAGGAUGGGCCCUUACCCCCUGUGAUUCUCCGCUCCAGGUUGGUUCCUGCACACAUGUCUCACCAAACCGAUCUGCAUCAGCAUUAAAUUUUUCCGAACCUUCGUCCCUUAUCGUCCGAAGGUUGGGGGCAUGAAGGUUCGGUCAUCGCGAUCGAGUUACAUCUUUUCUCUCCGAUGCAGCUAGGGGGUGAAGGCGUGGUUGAGUUCUCAAUACUUAAAUAUAUAAUUUGUCCAUACACAAAUUUCAAGUCGUUUUGGACAUGAUUUAGGAUGCCAAGAAGUGAUUAAUCAGAUGUAUUUUUUCUUAUCAGCACCUAUUAUUAAAUAGAGUUCGGGUUUCUCCAUAGAUCAACCACUCGUCGCUAUACUGGCAAGCAGUGUGAAGCCCAAGGUGUUAGGUCUUAGGUUUAAUCCCUUGCUUUCAGUUCUUUUUUAAUUGGUGGUCGUUUUUUUCCAUAGCCUGCAUGGCUAAGCGAUACAAUUGGCUCUUCGACGUUCGAGUGUGUGUGAAGUGAGAGGAGCCAUGAUUUACUUAUGAAUGCACAUGGCGUGAGAGGAGGCACGAGUUACUUUCCUCUUCAAGACUGAGACUGAGCGACUGGACACGGGAGACGAAGGACCGGGGGGUGAUUAACUUUGUUCAAAAUGUUGUUAAAGAUGCAAAAAGACUUCAAUUGUGAACACCCCACUCACCAUCCAAAACUACUUUAAUUUGAAAUAUGAAGGGAGUCUUCACAAAGUUGUGAAUAUAAGUUAUGUUCCGUAAAAUAUUAUGAUAAAAGUUGUGUGUGUAACUUGGUACGUUUGAUUGAGUGCAGCGUGAUCUAUUUUUCUCUUCGAGAGUGGUUGACUCGACAUGGGAGACGAAGGACAACCAGGGUGGAUUCAUGCAAAAUGACUUCAAUUGUGAACACCCCAAUCACCCUCCAAAACAACUUCAGUUUUGAGUACGGAGGGAGUAUCAUUAUUCCUGUUAUGUAAGCCCACUUUUAGGUCCAGAUUAAUUAGCUUUACUGCAUAUAUGUAAAUAUGUCAAAUAUAUACUUUUUGAAAUAAACUAUAUUCAAAACAAAUCUACCCACAUCAUCACUUCCAUACAUUCAAACUAAACAUGUAAACAUCAUUCAAUAGUCAAGAGGUUUCGAGAUGAUUGACGUAAGACAACCUGAAAAUGUCGAUUUAAUAAAAAAAUCAAAGCAUUUGUCGUCAAAGUAAUUUUUGAAAUGAUUGACCCACAUCAUCACUUUAAUACAUUCAAACUAAACAUGUAGUGUUAAUAAUUAUACAUCUUCUGCUACCUACCAAUAAGCCCCUCACGCAGCACACGGCUCCGUUUUCUAGUUUUUGUCUUGUAUUCGUUCAUCAGAUGAAUUCUGUAUUUGAAGAGCAGUGCGUGUCGCCACCUCAUGAAAAAAGCGUGCCAGCUAGGUACUUGUUUUAAUUUCCACCGUGUGAGUAUUUUUUUUGAAGUGGUGAGUUAAUUAAAUGAAACCAUUUAAUUUUUCGAAUCACAAAGUCUGCAACCCAGUUUUGCAACCAUAUAGCGAAUGAAGCAUAAUCGAAAAGUCAUGGAACACAGUCACAUCACAUGCAUGGCCCACAUGCAUGCAUAACGACAAUUUGUAAACAAAAAGAUGUGAGUGCAUCAUAAGGUAGCAGUGAUCGAACAAAAUACGUGUCCUCCAAAACCGUACGGAGAACGGAUCGGAGGAAGUAUGUUUUUGACGAUGGUAAAGUUUAUUUUGCGUAUAUGCUUUCACUUUUUCAUCCAUUAGAAGUGUGCAAACACACAUCUCAAUGUGUGAAACUGCUUUAAGAUAUGUGUUUACACACUUCUCAAAGCGAGUCCAAUAGAUGGGAGAGUGAGAGUAUAUGCCCUCAAGGACAAAAAAAAACAAAAAAAACUUUUGACGAUAAGAUGUAGUGCCCGUUUUUCAUUAAGUGGAAAUGAUCGUAGAAAGUACACGGAAACAACAAGCCAAAGGACAUCUCUCUCACACACACGUACGACACGGACGUACAUACGGAGAGAUUUUUUAUUCAGUAUACGACGUAGCAGUAUAUAUAGUAGACAACUCAUCAUCACCCGUAGAUAGAUAGAGACUCAAGCAUGGUCGUCGUCGAUGCUCCGGCGCCGACGACGGCGGCGGAAUGGAUCAUCGAUCGACGAUCAUCAGGUCGUCGUUUCGGUUUAGCUCACCCUGGAGCAGUCGGUGGAGGUGCUGAUGGUGUAGGGGAUGCUGACGCCGCACUUGGAGGGGAUGCUGGCGGCCUUGCCGACGUUGAGGCCGCGGAUGCCACGGGCGGCGUUCUUGAGGCAGUUGCAGGCGGCGCGCCUGUCGGCGGUGGUGCGGGCGGCGGAGUUGAGGCUCCUGACGCCGCUGCAGCAGCCUGCGGAGGGUCCAGAGCCCUGGCCGCGGGCGUAGGACAGGCAGGGCCCGAUGGCGGAGCUCACCUGACCGCAUGUCACGGCGGCCUCCGAGGUCGUCGCCGCCAGCACCACCGCCGCCACGACGGCGAUCGCCACAGCAAGCUUCAUGCUGCGAGCCAUGUCGAUCUCGAUCGACCUCCUGUGAUAUAUGUGCUGAUGCUCGUAGGUGACUGAUAGCUUUUGGGAUGCAGUGAGUGAGCAAGUGCUAGCUGGUGAGGAGAUUGCAAUGGAAUGUUGCUCCUUAAAUAGGCAGGCUUUGUGAUCGAUGUGUGAGCUAGCUAGCGAUUGCUGAUGAGUGAUGUGCAUGCAUGGGAUGGGUGUGCAUGCUGUUUCAGUCGGUGGAUGCAUGCAUAUGCGUAUAUGUCCAUGGAUCGAUGGUAUCUCUCGCCAUGCAUCGAAGUUAACUGCUGGGGAGGAGGUGGUUGGGUGUUGAGGGAGGAGGGCAGAUGCUUGUUUAGUUGUUGUAAUACCCGAUUUUAAGGACAAAACCAGAUAUGCACCAUAUGUGAGUUUUAAAAGCCAAAUCUCACAUAUAGCUACAAAUAAGGGGUAAUAUCAAAAGACAAUGCAAAAAUUAUAUAACGUACAUAAUAUAAAAGAGAUAACCUUUGAUAGCAAACAACGGAUAGACAACUCCAAACUCCGGGUAUUAACUUCUCUCUACAGGAUCCAACUGACUGGUUGAUCACAAGCCUAAACUUCUCCUGAGGUUUGGGGGAAAUAGCAAGAGUGAGUCCAUGUCAAACUCCACAAGUAUAGCAACUAGAUUGUAUAGCUCCCACAAUCUCAUGAUCAAUGUGACAUAAAUAAUGUAAAGCAUUAAACAAUAAGCAAUGAGCAUAUUUAACACACAAGAUUCAUCACCCUUAAUGUAGAUGUCCCCAAGGCCGUUCCUGACCGUGAGCUCGGCUAGUAUACUAGUUUUAACACUCUGCAGAGGUUGCACAUCUUUACCCAUGAGUCAUGAUUUACCCUUUCGCCCGAGGUGAUCAGCCUCUUAACCCACUUCCAAGGAAGGUCGGCAGGGAUCACUAUGAAGCCUUUCAAAAGUUCGUCUAACAUGUUAGGGCCGCAAGGUUUCCUUUGCGAGCAGAUAUAGAUACCCCCCUUCCGAAUGGCACAAUGACGCGCAGCCUAUACACAUAGGGACAGGGGCUCGCACUAUACCCGUGUCGGUUCAGCCCCUCCGCCCUUUCGGGUAACCUCUAACAAGCUAGAAAAGGUCUUCAUACUGAGCUAAAGCCAGAGCCAUUAUAGCCCUCAUGGUUGCACUGUUAUCCCGGGUGAUCACGUACAGACAAAUCAUCAAGUUGUUAAAAAGUCAUUUUUACCAUUUAUUACUUAACAUUAAUCUAGUCACAGGAUCAUGGUCACAGAAAUAAAAUCCAAAUGCUAUACUUGCCUCAAUCCAAUUGCUCUUGCUUAUCCUUUUGGUCCUGCUGGUCUCACUUGUUGCCAAAGCUUUGAUCUUGAUCACCGAAACUGCUCUCCGUCUAAACUCGAUCAUCGAUCAUCAACACACAAACAAUCGGACACAACAUACACGUAGCAAACAAGGCUAUAAUUAGAACAGUACACCAAUCAUAUAAAAACAAUAUGAAAAAUUUGUAAAAUAAUUCUACGCAUCGCUACGAUCUCACAGACGUAAAGAUGACGAAAAUCGGAGUUAAAACGGAAAAGAUAUGGAUUUUCUAAGAUUUUAUAUAGAAAAGUAAUUAAUUAAUUAAGGUCACGAAAUUAAAAGGUUUCAAACUGAGUGAACAAUAUUACUAACAUGUAGUGCUCGUGAUUACGAACCUAACACAAUUUCAAUGGACAAAACGGAGUUAAAACAGAGAUGAUAUGGCCUAAAUAAACUAGCGUAUUUUCUUUGUAUUUUUAGGUUUGUUUUUCUAAAGGAAAACGGCAAUAAAACAUGUCUAUGUUAUAACGACGUCAUCAAGCUAGCCAGCAACGUUUAUUCGCAGAUAUAUGUUAGACAUGUACAUCCCUAGAUCGAUUGCUGCGCAGAUAGAAACAUCGCCGGGCGAAACAAAUCAGUGCAUGCACUUGUAGAGGCUUUGUGAAAUUUCUCACACAGGAAUCGACAUAUUAAAGAUGCAAAGUUACCUCUUAUGGUGAUUAUAAGAUUCAAUAGGACAUGCUUGCCGAACGAUGGGUCAGUGGCCACGUCGUCAAGAACAGGUUGAUCUACGGCAACACCUUCUACUCCCGUGCUCUGUUGCUUGCUACUCUUCACGUGGCCAGCGAUUUGGUCUUCUGCUUCUUUGGUCCACAAUCACGAUGGUUCACCGGAACAUGGCAAGCAGCUCUGGCAAGCAGGACGUGGCAAGAGCAGAGCGGCGGCCGUAACAUGGCAAGGGCAGCAUCUAUCUAGGCAUGGCCGACGGCGGCGGCUCUCAAGGGUUUUAAGGACGUAAACACUCUAGACGAAUAUGACGUGUAUAUAUACGUGCGGUCUAGAUCAAGUUUGAUUAGGGUUAGAACUUAUUAUUUUUGGAAUUAAUUAUUUUCAUGGAUAAAAUAAUUAUAGAAAAGUCCAGAAUUAUUAUUUAAACUAUGAAAAAUAUUCUAAAAGCUCUGAAAAUUCGGAGAAAAUUCUCAGAGACAUUAUGGAAUAUGAGGAACUCAAAUAACGUAUUUGGACCUCAUGAUAAGAUAAUUUGGAGCAUCUAAAAAUUAGAUUUAUGCUCAUAGAAAAGUGAGAAUAGAAGAUGGAAAAAUUCCCGAAAAGUUUGUAGAGAUUGCUUGAUGGACGAGGAACUAAAAGAAGUGCUUUGAGUGACAAAGAAAAGAUUUUAGGAAGCUCCUAAUAAAAAAUUGAGCUGAGAAACCAAAGAAUUUGGUUAUAGAUAAAGAUAAAGACGUACUGGUCAAGGAAGAUCUACUAAACGCAUUUUAAAACUUUGCUCACUCAACACAUAAAGGAGCAACAAGUCAACAUCACAUCAAAACAUAUGCACCAGCAUGUAUGCACAACAAUAUUGCUAAGGCUUAUGAUAAAUUUUAAUUUAAUGAAAAUUAUUAUUUUCCUUAUAUUUUCGUGAGCACAAAAUACAAAACUGAAUAAAUUUUCAUCUAUUUUGAAAAGAGCAAAAUUUAGGGUGUUACAGUUGUCAAAAUUUUUUAAAAUUCUCAAUCAAAUUAAAUCUUGGGACACAAUGUAUCAAAUAUUAAAUAUAGAUAAAAAUUAAUUAAUUAUAUAGUUUGUAUAUAAUUUGCGAGAUAAAUUUUGUAAACCUAGUUAAUCUAUAAUUAAACAAAAAUUAUUAAAUAUAAACGGUGCUAUAGUAACUAGAUCCAAAAAUUUUCACCAACUAAGGGCUUGUACAACGAUGGGCGCUUAUGAUCAGGUAUUGGCCGUUAAAUAGUUUUUUUGCCACACGGUGGAGUCCUGAGCGGGCGCUUAAAAAUAGAUUUGCCGCUCCGUAAAGCAUCGACGCCUAGACCGGCUCCUUGCUUGAUACUGGUGUUUGCAUGCGACGUAACGGUCACAACUUAAGCGCCUUCAAAUACGUGUUGUGUUGUAGAUUAAGGUUAUAAAGAGACGCUUAGUUACAAAAGUAUUUUCUCUUUCCAUCUAAGCGCCUUUUGCAUUGUACGUGCUCUAAACAAGGCCACAGAUACAGACAUACAGUGGUUAGCUGAGGCAGAGUGAAAUCAUUAGCAGCAAACAUAUAAUAAAUAGCAGCCGCCUAGCACGACUUAGCGCCACUUAAGUUUUGUUUAGUUACGCUCGAAAUCCAAAAACUUUUCAAGGUUCUCUUCACGUCGAAUUUAGAGACACAUACAUGUAGCACGACUUAGCGCCACUUAAGUUUUGUUUAGUUACACUCGAAAUCCAAAAACUUUUCAAAGUUCCCUUCACGUCGAAUUUAGAGACACAUACAUGAAGCAUUAAAUAUAAAUAAAAAAAUAACUAAUUACAUAAUUUAUCUGUAAUUUGAGAGACGAAGCUUUUGAGUCUAGUUAGUCUAUAGUUGAACAAUAAUUAUCAAAUAUAAAAAAAAAUGUUAUAGUACCAAAAAAAUCUUUUCACUCACGAACUAAAUAAAGGCCCUAAUCUCAUCAUCCGCCUCACUGUUUAAUCGAAUGUCCUUGAUGGCCACCCACAGGCUCACAAAACCUGAGACGGUGAGACCUUGCCUGGGGUAGUAUAUGGGGCCAAUGGCCAAUCCAUUUAUCAGUUUGCCCAAGGCAGGUGGUGGGCCACUCUGUUCAAUUUUGAGUCUAAUAUAUGCAAUAUCUUCUCUUUUGUGCAAUUUUUGUCCGUGGGUUCAAACAAUCCUGCCACCGUGUCACCGGUGGCUGAUCGUGUCAACCCUUCGCCGCAGUCCGCUCCACCACAGUACGGGGGGCCCAGUUGCAGUCUCUGCCACCGCAGUAGGGAUGUUGAACUUGUAAUAAUAAAUAUGUGAGUGCUUUUAAUAUAUAAUGCAUGUUGGUGAUAUAGAUGUGAUAAUUGGCGUGUGUGUAUAUAUAUUGUCUGUUACAAUGGAAUGUAAAAAAUAAAACAAAUACAAUUCUCGGGGUCUUCGCCGAGUGCGGUGCCAGGGUCACUUGGCAAAGCAAUUUAAAAAAACAAUUUUGCCGAGUGUCGGGGCCACGACCACUCGGCAAAGAAUUUUUCUUUAAAAAAGAAAAGACACUUUGCCGAGUGCUGAUGCUAGGGGCACUAGGCAAAGUAUUUUUAAAAAAAACAAAUAUGCGGAGUGCCGCGGCAAGGGACACUCAGCAAAUAUUUUUUUUUUAAAAAAAAAGAAAGAAAAUCUUUGUCGAGUGCCUGAGGCCAGAGGCACUUGGCAAAGCAAUUUUUUUUAAAAAAACUUUGCCGAGUGUUAAGGGGCCAGGGGCACACGGUAAAAUAUUUUUUAAAAAACAAAAACUUUGUCGAGUGUCGUGUCGGGCAACUCGGCAAAAUAACUGUUAACGGCAGAUGCUGUGACGGCCAAAAAUGUUGCCGAGUGCUGUCGUAAGCACUCAGUAAAAUGUUUUUAAUAUUUUGCUAAGUGCCUCGGUAAAAAGCACUCAGCAAAGUCUCUUUGUCGAAAAUUUUUUUGCCGAGCGAACUUUGCUGAGUGCUACGUUCGGCAAAGCCUUUGCCGAGUGCAAAGGGCUCUUUGUCGAAUGUAAAAACACUCGGCAAAGUCCUAAUUUCCAGUGGUGGGUGUGCUGGGACAAUUUAGAAAGCAAGCAACGAUUUCAUUUUGCGUUAGAUCACUCCCAUCCUCGAAGCCUCAGUUUUUUUUUUCAGAAAUAAGUUCCAGCUGUUGCUGCUGAGAACUAAAAGAAGCUUUUCACCCUUGAUUGAUCAAUGGAUUGGCUCUCUAGUUUAACAGGCUUCUUUGUUGUACUCUUUUUGCUCUUUUUUCCUUAGUUUUUUUGUUCCUUAGUUAAGACUCCACCCUACUGCCUCCUUAACUGUUGUGCUUUUUUUUUUGUAAAAGACCUUUUUUAUUAUAAUUUUUGCAUUGUUGUAGGGGUGCAAACCCCUCCAAUCUCCUUCAAAAAAUUCAAAAGUAAUAUAACCUUGCAGAACAAAGGACGGUAAUCCCACCAUUUUGCUAUGUGAGCCCACUCCUCUUAUUUUUUUUACUUUUAUUUUGAUUAUGCCCACUCCUGUUAAGCAGUCAUUUGUUCCAUUCCCUAAAUAUAUUUCUAUUUUUUAGAAUAUUCAAUAAGGCGUAUAUACAUUAUAUUUUAAGAAAUAAACUAUAUUCAAGACAAAUCUACCCACAUCAAUAUUACUUGUAUACAUUCAAAUAAACAUGUAGACAUAAUAAUUCGAUAGUUAAGGUUUCAAAAUGAUUGAAAUAAGACAACUUGAAAUAUGUCACAAUAAAAAAUUAUUUGUGGUCAAAGUUUCUGAAAUUAUUGACUUACGACAACGUACAUCCAAGUGUCACUUAAUUGCUUUGUGAGCAGAGGGAGUAUAUAUUUUGGCAAGUUACCCUCCAUCUAAAAAUAUAAAACACAUGUUUUUAGGACAGUAAGAUUUGACCAAUAGGUGCUUGUGCCAUUAAUAUGCAUAAAUCAUAGAUACUUUUGAAUACAAAUAUCUAGUUACAUCAAUUUGCUACCACAAAAUUGCAAGUAUCUUGGUUAAAGCCAUGUCUAACAAAACAUGAGCUUUGGGAUGGAUAUAUAUCAUAUUGGUGUGUACGUUUAGUAGUCUCUCUUCGUUUCAAUUUAUUAGAUGUUGUUUUGGCUUUUGUAGAUACAAAAAUUUUUUUAUGUAUCUAGAUAACGUUUAUUAUGAUAUAGAUAUAUCGUAUAUCUAUAUGCCUAAAAAACUGAAUAUCUAGAAAAACUAAAAUAACCUAUAAUUUAGGAUAGAGGGUGGUAAUAAUUAUACAUCUUCUGCUACCAAGUCCCUUAAUUACAGCACACAGCUCUGUUUUCUAGUUGCCUUGAUCGUUCAUCAGAUGAAUUAUGUAUUUGAAGAGUAGCGCGUGUGUGGUCAUGUCAUGAAAACGUGCUAGCUAGGUACUUGUUUUAAUUUCCACCGUGUGAGUAUUUUUUUUUUUCAAGUGGCGAGAGUUCAUUAAUUAAAUAAAACCAUUCAAUUUUUCAAAUCACAAUACGUUGUCUGCAAAUCCUCUGAGUCAGCCAGUUUUUCGUUACGUGCUAUACUCCGUCCAUUCUAAAUUAUGUUUUUUAAACUUUUUGGUAUAUUCAUUUUGCUACAUACUAAAAAAAUUAAAAAUAACUUAUAAUUUAGAACAGAAGAGGUAUAUAUAUAGUUGCAUAUAUGCUGACAAGUGUUUGGGGGAGAAUAGAGCAGUAACUCUCUUGACCAAGCGUUUGGGAGUCAUGGAACACAGUCACAUGGCGCAUGCAUGCGUAACAACAAUUUGGAAACAAAGAGAUGUGUGUGUGCAUGUAGCAGUGAUCGAACUAGUACAAACCACAGGAGCGAGAGGAAACGUACACGGACAUAAAUAAUAAACACCGCACAUAGUGCAUGCACUCAAAAAUAAACCCAACAAGCAAAAGUACAUCUCUCACACACACAUGUACACACGCACGUACGUACAUACGCUAAGAUGCAAGCGUAUCACAGCGUACACGACGACACGUACGUACAUACGGAGAGAUUUUUAUUCAGUAGUACGACGUAGCAGUAGUAGACAACUCAUCAUCUCAUCAUAUCAGGCGUAGAUAGAUACUCAUCCAUGGUCGAUGCUCCGGCGCCGAUCGACGACGACGGCGGCGGCGGCGGAAUGGAUCAUCGAUCGAUCGAUCAUCGUUUAGGUUUAGUUCACCCUGCAUGAUCAUGCAUGCAUGGAAGACGAAGCACAAGUUAAUUAAACGACUUGAUAUUCAAGUUGAAUCAGACCAUGCAUGCAUGCAAAGUUGCAAACAACUUGUAGUGAUUGGAUCAUUCAUUCAGAUCAUCACUUAAUUACCUGGAGCAGUCGGUGGAGGUGCUGAUGGUGUAGGGGACGCUGACGCCGCACUUGGAGGGGAUGCUGGCGGCGUUGCCGGCGUUGAGGCCGCUGAUGCCACGGGCGGCGUUCUUGAGGCAGUUGCAGGCGGCGCGCCUGUCGGCGGUGGUGCGGGCGGCGGAGUUGAGGCUCCUGACGCCGCUGCAGCAGCCUGCUGAGGGUGCGGAGCCCUGGCCCCGGGCGUAGGACAGGCAGGGCGCGAUGGCCGAGCUCACCUGCCCGCAGGAGAUGGCCGCCUCCGAGGUCGUCGCCGCCAGCACCACCACCGCCGCCGCCGCCACCACGGCGAUCGCCACAGCAAGCCGAGCCAUGUCGUCGAUGUUCUGGGGGU